UACGUAGGGUGCAAGCGUUGUCCGGAAUUAUUGGGCGUAAAGAGCUCGUAGGCGGUUUGUCGCGUCGAAUGUGAAAACCCGGGGCUCAACCCCGGGCCUGCAUUCGAUACGGGCAGACUAGAGUUCGGUAGGGGAGUCUGGAAUUCCUGGUGUAGCGGUGAAAUGCGCAGAUAUCAGGAGGAACACCAGCGGCGAAGGCGGCGCUCUGGGCCGGAACUGACGCUGAGGAGCGAAAGCGUGGGUAGCAAACAGG
rnacentral:rRNA from 1 species